AAUAGUCCAUGUCCAGCAUCUCUUAAGACAAACACAUAUAACAGAGUGUAAGACAUACCUCAACUGAAGGUUCCCACCACAAGACAUCCUCAGAAUAUACACCUAAACACUGAUGUCUUUGCUCUCAUGUAACUGGAGAACUUAGAGGAGUCAGCCCCCAAAACUUGUUCAGGCUUUGCUGAUUUUGGUCAAGCAGCAGAGAACAGGAGUUCGAGUUCACUCAGUUGACUCUGCCUGAAGCAGCCUAGCAUGCACUUUCCUUCCUAUCAGCCCCCAAACUCCUUUCUUCCUUGGUAGCCACUGAAUCUUGCAGACUCCUUCCUUUCUCCGUUGAGUUCUUUCCUAUACACAUAUUUCAGAUGCAUGGAGACAUCCUUCUUUCUCAGCAAGUUUGACUACCUUUGUUGUUCUGGGUUUUUUAGUUGUUCUGUGUUUUAUUUUUCCUGAGCUGGUUCAAUUAUACAUUGCAUUACAGAGAGCCAAACUGUUAUUACUCUCAAUGUCACAACUGGAAAGUACUUUCUUGAACAAUUAUUUACUGCUUUGGUUUUGUUUGAUCUGCUGGACACUUGGUUCUGUCAGUGAACAGAAUUCAAAGAAUAAUUCUCAGCAGAAGUUAUUAAACCAAUGCCAUCUACACACUCCAGUUUUCUCACUCAUAUACACAAUACUAAAGUAGCACUUAACUGCACUGAUUUUGAAAGAGACACUAUCUGGUGAACUUUUAUCUUCCAGGUUUUAUCUUAAAAUAUUUCUAAUUUUAUAGUGAUUCUAAACCUGAAAAUUAGUUUUUUUAAAGAACACUCCUGUAAAUACAAACUGUUGUGCUAUUAUCUGCAUUUUCUUCAUGAUUAAAAAUCUUACUUGCAAA